UUGCAACAAGCUCAUGGCCCGUUA
rnacentral:siRNA from 1 species